rnacentral:misc_RNA from 1 species
GAAAUGCGAUAAGUAAUGUGAAUUGCAGAAUUCCGUGAAUCAUCGAAUCUUUGAACGCACAUUGCGCCCUCUGGCAUUCCGGGGGACAUGCCUGUCCGAGCGUCAUUACGCACCCUCAAGCCCGGCUUGUGUGAUGGGCCCCGGCGUCUCGUUCGCGAGACGGGCCCGAAAGGCAGCGGCGGCGUCGACCCGAUGAGCCCGAGCGUAUGGGGACUUCUGUCACACGUUCGCGGUGCGGACCGGCGCCUGCUUGACUUUUCUGAUUAUCCAGGUUGACCUCGGAUCAGGUAGGGAUACCCGCUGAACUUAAGC